rnacentral:rRNA from 1 species
UUAUAAGAGACAGCAGCCGCCGCGGGAAAACGGAGGGUGCAAGCGUUAAUCAGAAUUACUGGGCGUAAAGCGCACGCAGGCGGUUUGUUAAGUCAGAUGUGAAAUCCCCGAGCUUAACUUGGGAACUGCAUUUGAAACUGGCAAGCUAGAGUCUUGUAGAGGGGGGUAGAAUUCCAGGUGUAGCGGUGAAAUGCGUAGAGAUCUGGAGGAAUACCGGUGGCGAAGGCGGCCCCCUGGACAAAGACUGACGCUCAGGUGCGAAAGCGUGGGGAGCAAACAGGAUUAGAUACCCCAGUAGUCCCUGUCUCUUAUAC